rnacentral:rRNA from 1 species
AUUGAACGCUGGCGGCAGGCUUAACACAUGCAAGUCGAGCGAGCGGCGGACGGGUGAGUAAUGUCUGGGAAACUGCUUGAUGGAGGGGGAAAACUACUGGAAACGGUAGCUAAUACCGCAUACCAUCAGAUGUGCCCAGAUGGGAUUAGCUAGUAGGUGGGGUAAUGGCUCACCUAGGCGACGAUCCCUAGCUGGUCUGAGAGGAUAACAAGCAACCCUGGAACUGAGACACGGUACAUACUCCUACGGGAGGAAGCAGUGGGGAAUAUUGCACAAUGGGCGCAAGCCGGAUGCAGCCAUGCCGCGUGUGUGAAGAAGGCCUUCGGGUUGUAAAGCACUUUCAGCGAGGAGGCGGUACUCGCAGAAGAAGCACCGGCUAACUCCGUGCCAGAAGCCGCGGUAAUAC